rnacentral:tRNA from 1 species
UCUCAUAGCUCAGUUGGUAAAUCAUCUGCCUGCAAUGCAGGAGACCUGGGUUCAGUUCCUAGGUUGAGAA